GAAGGGUUAAAUAUAGAGAGUACAUCCUUAUAUAGAAGUGGGGCCCAAACAUGGGUGGAUAAUCAAUUUUUGACCUAAUUGAUGAAAAUUAACAAUUAAAUGAAUUAAAGAAAAUUGAGAAAAUAGGGACAAAAUGACGAUUUUGCGCCUACACCAACAAUUUGUGGAAUUUUGAAUCAGUCUCUGUAAUGGCUAUGCAAUCUUCAUGAUCUUUGAAGAUCCGUUCGGGGUCUUUCUGGUCUUCAUCCGGCCAAAAGAUUAUCCUUUUCUUGAUUGGGGUCAGGAAGAUGAUCAUUUUGAUACCCUUUUCGAACCAUGGAUCGAACUCUCGAGCCAUAAUCCUGACGUGGUAAAAUAUGGGAAAACAUGCGACCUUAGAUUUACGAUCCAACCUAUUUCUCCAUGUUUUUCACCGGUUUCUUCAUUAUAGGGUAACGAGCAUGUUGCCACAAUCAUUUUGCAAAAAGAAUGGCUCCAUUUGGUGCCCAGAUGACCAUUUUCCAAAUUAGGAAACUUUGGCCAAAGUUUGGA
rnacentral:lncRNA from 1 species